rnacentral:rRNA from 1 species
UACGUAGGGUGCAAGCGUUAAUCGGAAUUACUGGGCGUAAAGCGUGCGCAGGCGGUGAUGUAAGUCAGAUGUGAAAUCCCCGGGCUUAACUCGGAAAGGUCAACUGAUACUGUGCGACUAGAGUGCGGAAGGGGCAACUGGAAUUCUCGGUGUAGCGGUGAAAUGCGUAGAUAUCGAGAGGAACACCUGCGGCGAAGGCGGGUUGCUGGGCCGACACUGACGCUGAUGCGCGAAAGCCAGGGGAGCGAACGGG